UGAACGCUGGCGGCAUGCCUUACACAUGCAAGUCGAACGGCAGCGAACCUUCGGGUGUCGGCGAGUGGCGAACGGGUGAGUAAAGUAUCGGAACGUACCAUUCAGUGGGGGAUAACGUAGCGAAAGUUACGCUAAUACCGCAUAUUCUGUGAGCAGGAAAGCAGGGGAUCGCAAGACCUUGCGCUGAUUGAGCGGCCGAUAUCAGAUUAGCUAGUUGGUGAGGUAAAGGCUCACCAAGGCGACGAUCUGUAGCGGGUCUGAGAGGAUGAUCCGCCACACUGGGACUGAGACACGGCCCAGACUCCUACGGGAGGCAGCAGUGGGGAAUUUUGGACAAUGGGGGCAACCCUGAUCCAGCCAUGCCGCGUGAGUGAAGAAGGCCU
rnacentral:rRNA from 1 species